rnacentral:rRNA from 1 species
CCUUGCCAGCCCGCUCAGAAACUCAAAGGAAUUGACGGGGCCCGCACAAGCGGUGGAGCAUGUGGUUAAUUCGAUGAUACGCGAGGAACCUUACCUGGGCUCAAAUGUAUGUUGACGUAUUCUGAAAGGGAUACUUCUUCGGACAAUAUACAAGGUGCUGCAUGGUUGUCGUCAGCUCGUGCCGUGAGGUGUCGGGUUAAGUCCCAUAACGAGCGCAACCCCUAUCAUUAGUUGCCAUCAGGUCAAGCUGGGGACUCUAAUGAAACUGCCUACGCAAGUAGUGAGGAAGGUGGGGAUGACGUCAAAUCAGCACGGCCCUUACGUCCAGGGCUACACACGUGCUACAAUGGCCGGUACAAAGGGCAGCUACCUGGUGACAGGAUGCAAAUCUCCAAAGUCGGUCUCAGUUCGGAUCGGAGUCUGCAACCCGACUCCGUGAAGUUGGAUUCGCUAGUAAUCGCGCAUCAGCCAUGGCGCGGUGAAUACGUUCCCGGGCCUU